CUCGGUAGCCCACUUACUAUAGCCCACUAUAACAGACAGACACACAUACAUACACACACACACAUAAAAAGACACAUACAUACAAACAGACAGGCACACAUACAGACACACACAGACAGGCACACCUAGACAGGCACACAUACAGACACACACACAGACAGGCACACAUACAUACAUACAGAAAAACAGACAGGCACACAUACAGACACACACACACACACACACACACGACACAUACAUGCAGACAGGCACACAUACAUACAGACACGCACACAUACAUACA